rnacentral:tRNA from 1 species
UUAAGCGUGAAGUCGGUGGUUCAAGUCCACUCAGGCCCACCAUAAAUAAGACCAUCCUGGGGCCUUAGCUCAGCUGGGAGAGCGCCUGCUUUGCACGCAGGAGGUCAGCGGUUCGAUCCCGCUAGGCUCCACCAUAAGUUUGAUGAAUAUUGGAAGCAUUGCUCCUAUGCGAGAGCCCAUUCGAAGGAUCGGAUGUUCGGCUCGAAGCAACUCAAGCAGCAAGGGAGCUCAUUGAAAGAAAAAGCACUUGUUCUUUGAAAACUGGAUAACGGAAAGACAUUCACGAAUAGAUCGCUCAUGUUAGGAAGAAAC